AUGAAACACAAGGAUAAGUUCAGUAAGCCGUCGUCAGCUGGUCGUGUGGCCGGCAAAGGCUUGUCCAUGAAAUGGUCGGAAUACUAUAAGGCUGGGCGAAAGGAGAGAAAGUCCAACUCGGAAAGCCAGGAGCACGAGGUUAAAGAACUCAAGGCACAAGUGGCGCGGAUUCCGGAGAUAGUCCAAGAGCAAGUGCGAGACCAACUGGGAGCGACGAUCACCGGCAUUAUGCCUUCCUUGCUUGAGGGGCUGCUGGGUGGAUUGCGGGCGGCCGACAGGGGCUGCCCACAAUUCCCAGCUUCACGGGAAACAACCCGCACAACGCGCCGACAUUGGCGUCUCCGGCGGAGGCGGCAUUGGUGUCUCUGGCGUCGGCAUCGGCGUUGGAGCUUAAUGCACCCGGGUGCGGGAAGAAUACAUCAGCCGACACCUCGGCAGCAAGCGGCCCCUCCGUCACUUGCACGCCCACCAUUGGUGGUGCCUCGACAUUAG
rnacentral:rRNA from 1 species